rnacentral:rRNA from 1 species
GACGAACGCUGGCGGCGUGCUUAACACAUGCAAGUCGAACGGAAAGGCCCCUUUGGGGGUACUCGAGUGGCGAACGGGUGAGUAACACGUGAGUAACCUGCCCUUGACUUCGGGAUAACUUCAGGAAACUGGGGCUAAUACCGGGUAGGAAUCCUUGCUGCAUGGUGGGGGUUGGAAAGCUUCGGCGGUUUUGGAUGGACUCGCGGCUUAUCAGCUUGUUGGUGGGGUAGUGGCUUACCAAGGCUUUGACGGGUAGCCGGCCUGGGAGGGCGACCGGCCACAUUGGGACUGAGAUACGGCCCAGACUCCUACGGGAGGCAGCAGUGGGGAAUAUUGCACAAUGGGCGGAAGCCUGAUGCAGCAACGCCGCGUGCGGGAUGACGGCCUUCGGGUUGUAAUCCGCUUUCAGCAGGGGCGAAGCUUGUGGUGACGGUACCUGCAGAAGAAGCACCGGCUAACUCCGUG